CCUGGAGGUACCUCCUCAGAGAGUCAGGGGCCAUGUGAGGGUACCCCACUGGUUGAAUGUAGCAGAAAGUCAUCCGGAUAUGCUAAGAUGUCGAGCCGUGGUGUUAUUAAUCGCUCCCGGUGGAUUGCACGAAUAGUUUGCGCUCCGAAAUCAACAGGCCUCUCAUCAAAAGGGCAUGCCAUUGUGAACACAUGAAAUCUAAGGGUUACAGCAAACCCCGGGAUGGCUUACCCGGUUAUGUGAUAAAACCGGCUUUGUGGAAUGCCCCUUAGGUUACUCAUGAUGUGGGAUUGAUCUCCUGGGUGACCUCCCAGGUGACCUCCAGGUUGACCUCCAGGUCAACCUCUCAGGGCUGCAGUUGGUUUCACAACAGGACUGGGG
ensembl:lncRNA